rnacentral:rRNA from 1 species
AAUAUUGCGCAAUGGGCGAAAGCCUGACGCAGCGACGCCGCGUGAGGGACGAAGGCCUUCGGGUUGUAAACCUCUUUCAGCAGGGACGAAGCGAGAGUGACGGUACCUGCAGAAGAAGCACCGGCCAACUACGUGCCAGCAGCCGCGGUAAUACGUAGGGUGCAAGCGUUGUCCGGAAUUACUGGGCGUAAAGGGUGCGUAGGUGGUGAGGUAAGUCGGAUGUGAAAGCUCCGAGCUCAACUCGGAAAUGGCAUUGGAAACUACCUUGCUCGAGGGUUUGAGGGGGGACUGGAAUACUUGGUGUAGCAGUGAAAUGCGUAGGUAUCAAGUAGAACACCAGUGGCGAAGGCGAGUCCCUGGAAAACUCCUGACACUGAGGCACGAAAGCUAGGGGAGCAAAC